rnacentral:rRNA from 1 species
UACGGGGGGGGCAAGCGUUGUUCGGAAUUACUGGGCGUAAAGGGCUCGUAGGCGGCCAACUAAGUCAGACGUGAAAUCCCUCGGCUUAACCGGGGAACUGCAUCUGAUACUGGAUGGCUUGAGUUCGGGAGAGGGAUGCGGAAUUCCAGGUGUAGCGGUGAAAUGCGUAGAUAUCUGGAGGAACACCGGUGGCGAAGGCGGCGUCCUGGACCAAUACUGACACUGAGGAGCGAAAGCCAGGGGAGCAAACGGG